ACGCCCGUACCCCUGUCCAUAGGCACCGCCUAGAGGUACCGGCUAGAGGCGCCUUGGAGGGAUUUGGGAGGUCCGGAGCUAAUUGUGAAGAGAGAUUAAUUAGGAAGAAAGCCCCGCUUUUUGAGGAAACAGCCAAGAGGGUCUCUGCUCCCCUCCAAAACCAGGGAAUGGAAGCAGAGGAGGAAGGGAACCAGCAACAUGGGGCAGUGUGGAUGUCUGCCCAGGGAGAAGACACACGUCCCCAAGGAGCAGCAAGGCACAGAGCAGGGACUCGGCAGGUGCCCCCUCCCAGAGAGCUGGGUGAGAUCCCUGGGGGCCAUCCUUGGGCUCUGCCCCCGGGGUGUGUGAGGAUGGAGGCAGCAGGAAUGAGGAGAGGA